rnacentral:tRNA from 1 species
GGAUGUAGCUCAGUGGUAGAGUACUUGCCUAACAUGUGCAAGGCCCUGGGUUGGAUCCCCAGCAAUGCA